rnacentral:rRNA from 1 species
AUGGAGCAGACGGCCUCCUCCAACGUAGACGCGAAGGCGGUGCUGCUCGUGCUAAUCGUUAUUUACCUCGUGCUUAGGCUCAGGCCCAAGAGGCACAAUAUCCUAUGCGGUGGUGGUGCUGGCGCUGGAGCUGGUGCGUGCUCGUCGGCCGCCACGCCACUCCCGCUUCCGCCAGGCCCCGUGCCGUGGCCGGUGGUCGGCAACCUUCCUGAGAUGAUGCUCAACAAGCCUGCGUUCCGGUGGAUCCACCACAUGAUGAAAGAAAUGGGCACCGAUAUCGCCUGCGUCCACCUCGGCAGCGUCCACGUCGUCUCCAUCACCUGCCCCAAGAUCGCCCGCGAGGUGCUCAAGAAGCAGGACGCCAACUUCGCCUCCCGCCCACUCACCUUCGCCUCCGCCACCUUCAGCGGCGGCUACCGGAACGCCGUGCUCUCCCCCUUCGGCGACCAGUGGAAGAAGAUGCGCCGCGUGCUCACCUCCGAAAUCGUCUGCCCGUCGCGCCACAGGUGGCUGCACGACCGCCGCGCCGACGAGGCCGACAACCUCACCCGCUACGUCCACAACCUCAUCACCAAGGGGUCAUUGUCGUCGUCGUCGUCAGGCGGCGCCACGGUGGACGUCAGGCAUGUUUCUAGGCACUACUGUGGCAACGUCAUCCGCCGGCUCCUCUUCGGCAGCCGGUACUUUGGCGAGCCCCGGCUGCACGACGACGGCGGGCCGGGGCCGUUGGAGGUGGAGCACAUGGACGCCAUGUUCACCUCCCUUGGGCUCCUCUACGCGUUCUGCGUCUCCGACUACCUCCCCUGGCUGCGCGGCCUCGACCUCGACGGACACGAGAAGAUGGUCAAGGAGGCCAACGCCACCAUCAACCGGCUGCACGACACGGUCAUCGACGAGCGCUGGAGGCGGUGGAAGUCCGGCGAGAGGAAAGACAUCGACGAUUUCUUGGACGUGCUCAUCACGCUCAAGGACUCUGACGGCAACCCGCUGCUCACCCUCGAGGAGGUCAAAGCGCAGUCCCAGGACAUAACAUUUGCGGCGGUGGACAACCCAUCGAAUGCCAUCGAGUGGGCCUUGGCAGAGAUGGCGAAUGCGCCAGAGGUGAUGGCAAAGGCAGUGGAAGAGAUGGACCGUGUGGUGGGUCGGGAGCGGCUGGUGCAGGAGUCUGACAUCCCACAGCUCAUCUACGCCAAGGCAUGUGUCCGUGAGGCAUUCCGGUUGCACCCCGUGGCACCCUUCAACGUGCCACAUGUUGCGCUCUCUGACACCACUGUCGCUGGCUACCGCGUGCCCAAGGGAAGCCAUGUUAUCCUCAGCCGCAUAGGGCUCGGUCGAAACCCUGCGGUUUGGGAUGAGCCGCUCCGCUUCAAGCCAGAGCGUCACAUCAAUAUGGCCGCUGGCAUUGAUGGUGGUGUGGCACUCACUGAGAAUGAGCUGAGGUUCAUCUCCUUUAGCACCGGCCGUCGCGGGUGUGUAGCUGCAUCGCUUGGGACGGCUAUGUGCAUAAUGCUCUUCAGCAGGCUCAUACAUGGGUUCACUUGGAGCAAGCCAACGGGCGUGGCAGCAAUCGAUCUCAGUGAGGCGAAGCACGACGUCUUUCUAGCCAAGUCGCUGGUGCUACAUGCUGAGUUGCGCCUGCCAGCAAACCUCUACCGUGCCACCACCAUCUAA